rnacentral:rRNA from 4 species
AAACUUUCAACAACGGAUCUCUUGGUUCUGGCAUCGAUGAAGAACGCAGCGAAAUGCGAUAAGUAAUGUGAAUUGCAGACACCGUGAAUCAUCGAAUCUUUGAACGCACAUUGCGCCCUUUGGUAUUCCGAAGGGCAUGCCUGUUCGAGCGUCAUUA